rnacentral:misc_RNA from 1 species
UCACCCCUCAAGCCCCGGUGCUUGGUGCUGGGGCCGGUCUGGCAGCAGACCGCCCCGAAAGACAAUGACGGCGGCCUCGUGGAUCCCCGGUACACUGAGCUUCUUCGGAGCACGUAUCGGCCUCAAGCGGUCGCGAGCCCCGGUCUCCUUACCACUUCUAA